rnacentral:rRNA from 1 species
UACGGAGGGAGCUAGCGUUGUUCGGAAUUACUGGGCGUAAAGCGCACGUAGGCGGCUUUGUAAGUUAGAGGUGAAAGCCUGGGGCUCAACUCCAGAACUGCCUUUAAAACUGCAUCGCUUGAAUCCAGGAGAGGUGAGUGGAAUUCCGAGUGUAGAGGUGAAAUUCGUAGAUAUCAAGAGGAACACCGGUGGCGAAGGCGGCCUUCUGGACAGUGACUGACGCUGAGACGCGAAAGCGUGGGGAGCAAACAGG